rnacentral:rRNA from 1 species
UACGUAGGGUGCAAGCGUUGUCCGGAAUUAUUGGGCGUAAAGAGCUUGUAGGCGGUUUGUCGCGUCUGCUGUGAAAACCCGGGGCUCAACUCCGGGCCUGCAGUCGAUACGGGCUGGCUUAAGUGCGGUAGGGGAGACUGGAAUUCCUGGUGUAGCGGUGAAAUGCGCAGAUAUCAGGAGGAACACCGGUGGCGAAGGCGGGUCUCUGGGCAGUAACUGACGCUGAGGAGCGAAAGCGUGGGGAGCGAACAGG